rnacentral:rRNA from 1 species
GUAGGUGGCAAGCGUUGUCCGGGAAUUAUUGGGCGUAAAGCGCGCGCAGGCGGUUCGUUUAAGUCUGAUGUGAAAGCCCACGGGCUCAACCGUGGAGGGUCAUUGGAAACUGGAGAACUUGAGUACAGAAGAGGAAGCGGAAUUCCACGUGUAGCGGUGAAAUGCGUAGAGAUGUGGAGGAACACCAGUGGCGAAGGCGGCUUUCUGGUCUGUAACUGACGCUGAGGCGCGAAAGCGUGGGGAGCAAACAGGAUUAGAUACCCUGGUAGUCCACGCCGUAAACGAUGAGUGCUAAGUGUUAGGGGGUUUCCGCCCCUUAGUGCUGCAGCUAACGCAUUAAGCACUCCGCCUGGGGAGUACGGCCGCAAGGCUG